GCAGUCGAGCGCCACCUUCGGGUGGAGCGGCGGACGGGUUAGUAACGCGUGGGAACAUACCCAGAUCUAAGGAAUAGCCACUGGAAACGGUGAGUAAUACCUUAUACGCCCUUCGGGGGAAAGAUUUAUCGGAUUUGGAUUGGCCCGCGUUAGAUUAGAUAGUUGGUGGGGUAAUGGCCUACCAAGUCUACGAUCUAUAGCUGGUUUUAGAGGAUGAUCAGCAACACUGGGACUGAGACACGGCCCAGACUCCUACGGGAGGCAGCAGUGGGGAAUCUUGGACAAUGGGCGCAAGCCUGAUCCAGCCAUGCCGCGUGAGUGAUGAAGGCCUUAGGGUCGUAAAGCUCUUUCGCCAGAGAUGAUAAUGACAGUAUCUGGUAAAGAAACCCCGGCUAACUCCGUGCCAGCAGCCGCGGUAAUACGGAGGGGGUUAGCGUUGUUCGGAAUUACUGGGCGUAAAGCGCACGUAGGCGGAUUGGAAAGUUAGAGGUGAAAUCCCAGGGCUCAACCCUGGAACUGCCUUUAAAACUCCCAGUCUUGAGUUCGAGAGAGGUGAGUGGAAUUCCGAGUGUAGAGGUGAAAUUCGUAGAUAUUCGGAGGAACACCAGUGGCGAAGGCGGCUCACUGGCUCGAUACUGACGCUGAGGUGCGAAAGUGUGGGGAGCAAACAGGAUUAGAUACCCUGGUAGUCCACACCGUAAACGAUGAAUGCCAGUCGUCGGAUAGCAUGCUAUUCGGUGACACACCUAACGGAUUAAGCAUUCCGCCUGGGGAGUACGGUCGCAAGAUUAAAACUCAAAGGAAUUG
rnacentral:rRNA from 1 species